rnacentral:rRNA from 1 species
AUUGAACGCUGGCGGCAGGCCUAACACAUGCAAGUCGAACGGUAACAGGAAGAAGCUUGCUUCUUUGCUGACGAGUGGCGGACGGGUGAGUAAUGUCUGGGAAACUGCCUGAUGGAGGGGGAUAACUACUGGAAACGGUAGCUAAUACCGCAUAACGUCGCAAGACCAAAGAGGGGGACCUUCGGGCCUCUUGCCAUCGGAUGUGCCCAGAUGGGUUUAGCUAGUAGGUGGGGUAACGGCUCACCUAGGCGACGAUCCCUAGCUGGUCUGAGAGGAUGACCAGCCGCACUGGAAAUGAGACACGGUCCAGAGGACUACGGGAGGCAGAAGUGGGGAAGAUUGAAGAAGGGGCGCAAGUGUGAUGAAGCUAUGGGGCGUGUAUGAAGAAGGACUUUGGGUUGUAAAGUACGUGCAGAGGGGGGGAAGGGAGUAAAGUUAAUACCUUUGCUCAUGGACGUGAGACGAAGAAGAAGCAGCGGCUAAACCCGUG